UUGUGCAUGCCAUGCAUGGCCAGAUGACAGGUAUUUAUAGGAUAGUUGAGUUGGGUCAACGCAUCAUGGUUAAAAGGUAACCUAAUCUCUGACAAAAGCGUUUUAGGUGUACUAAAAAUUGCCUUUCUUCUUCUUCUUAAGAAAUAUCUGAUGUAAUAUGUUAGAAGUUAGAUAGCAAAUAUAAACUUUUUUUAAUUACAUGACUCAUAGAGGCCAAAC
rnacentral:lncRNA from 1 species